rnacentral:rRNA from 1 species
GACGAACGCUGGCGGCGUGCUUAACACAUGCAAGUCGAACGGAAAGGCCCUGCUUUUGUUGGGUGCUCGAUUGGCGAACGGGUGAGUAACACGGGGGUAACCUGCCCUUGACUUUGGGAUAACUUCGGGAAACUGGGGCUAAUACCGGAUAGGAGCUCCUGCUGCAUGGUGGUGGUUGGAAAUUUUCGGCGAGUGGGGAUGGACUCGCGGCUUAGCAGCUUGUUGGUGGGGUAGUGACUUACCAAGGCUUUGACGGGUAGCCGGCCUGAGAGGGUGACCGGCCACAUGGGGACUGAGAUACGGCCCAGACUCCUACGGGAGGCAGCAGUGGGGAAUAGUGCACAAUGGGCGGAAGCCUGAUGCAGCAACGCCGCGUGCGGGAUGACGGCUUUCGGGUUGUAAACCGCUUUCGCCUGUGACGAAGCGUGAGUGACGGUAAUGGGUAAAGAAGCACCGGCUAACUACGUG